UUGGAGGGCAAGUCUGGUGCCAGCAGCCGCGGUAAUUCCAGCUCCAAUAGCGUAUAUUAAAGUUGUUGCAGUUAAAAAGCUCGUAGUUGAAUUUCGGGGUUAGUAGGUUGGUCAUGCCUCUGGUAUGCACUGGCCUCACUGAUUCCUCCUUCCUGAUGAGCCGUAAUGCCAUUAAUUUGGUGUUGCGGGGAAUUUGGACUGUUACUUUGAAAAAGUUAGAGUGUUUAAAGCAAGCUAACGCUUGAAUACAUUAGCAUGGAAUAAUGAAAUAGGACGUUCGAUCCUAUUUUGUUGGUUUCUAGGAUUGACGUAAUGAUUAAUAGGGAUAGUUGGGGGCAUUAGUAUUCAAUUGUCAGAGGUGAAAUUCUUGGAUUUAUUGAAGACUAACUACUGCGAAAGCAUUUGCCAAGGAUGUUUUCAUUAAUCAAGAACGAAAGUUAGGGGAUCGAAGACGAUCAGAUACCGUCGUAGCCUUAACCAUAAACUAUGCCGACUAGGGAUCGGAUGAUGUUAAUUUUUUAAUGACUCAUUCGGCGCCUUACGGGAAAC
rnacentral:rRNA from 1 species